rnacentral:tRNA from 1 species
GGAAGAGUGGGUGAGUGGUUUAAACCAGUUGGUUGCUAACUAACCGUACGAGUAACAUCGUACCGAGAGUUCGAAUCUCUCCUCUUCCGCCA